rnacentral:piRNA from 1 species
CUUGGGGUCUGUGGUCUUUUUUG